UGGGGAAUUUUGCACAAUGGGGGAAACCCUGAUGCAGCGACGCCGCGUGAUUUAGAAGGCCUUCGGGUUGUAAAAAUCUUUUCUAUGGGAAGAAAAUGACAGUACCAUAGGAAUAAGGACCGGCUAAUUACGUGCCAGCAGCCGCGGUAAUACGUAAGGUCCCAGCGUUGUCCGGAAUCAUUGGGCGUAAAGGGUACGUAGGCGGGUAAGCAAGUUAGAAGUGAAAUCCUAUAGCUCAACUAUAGUAAGCUUUUAAAACUGCUCAUCUUGAGGUAUGGAAGGGAAAGUGGAAUUCCUAGUGUAGCGGUGAAAUGCGCAGAUAUUAGGAGGAAUACCGGUGGCGAAGGCGACUUUCUGGCCAUAACCUGACGCUGAGGUACGAAAGCGUGGGUAGCAAACAGG
rnacentral:rRNA from 1 species